CUUCUAGCUGCCUUCUUGUGCCUCUCUCCCACUCUCCUGGAGUUCUCCCAGAACAAUAUGCUGAGAACAUUGAUAAGGUUGGAAUUGCCCAAAGGCCUUGCACCAGGAGCAAAUACUUUGCUCCUAAAGCAGACAUUCAGAUCUGGAAAAUCUGAAAGAGAACAUGGGCAUGAUUCCCUUCAUUUUAAAAAUCAUCUUGAAUCCUGAGGCACAUUUGAAAUGCAAGAUAUGUGAGGUGAAUGGCAGAAAAGAAAAAUACCAGAAGACUGAAUUUCCAAUAAAUCAAAGCAACCGAAUUUCAAUUUACAAUAGUGGAACUCAGGACAUAUUUUUUCCACCAAAACAUCCAACCAAGUAUGAGUGAGUGGCCUGGCCUUAACACAUUGUUUGUUUGAACAACAAUUUGAAGGAAAGUCGAUAUGUUGAUAAUAUAAUAUAGAGUAACUUCAGAAGGCCUUAUAAAGAAUGUGCAGUAGGAAGAAGAAAAUCUGGAACCCUGAGUUAGCCUGGUGGGAAAGUCAGCCUCAGCUGAAGCCUCAACAGGCAGCUUGGAUGCUUCUUGACAUCUACAUUAAGGUGAG
rnacentral:lncRNA from 1 species